rfam:Rattus norvegicus chromosome X, whole genome shotgun sequence.
GGGGAUUUAGCUCAGUGGUAGAGCGCUUACCUAGGAAGCGCAAGGCCCUGGGUUCGAUCCCCAGCUCCA